UACGUAGGGCGCAAGCGUUAUCCGGAAUUAUUGGGCGUAAAGAGCUCGUAGGCGGUUUGUCGCGUCUGCCGUGAAAGUCCGGGGCUCAACUCCGGAUCUGCGGUGGGUACGGGCAGACUAGAGUGAUGUAGGGGAGACUGGAAUUCCUGGUGUAGCGGUGAAAUGCGCAGAUAUCAGGAGGAACACCGAUGGCGAAGGCAGGUCUCUGGGCCGGUACUGACGCUGAGGAGCGAAAGCGUGGGGAGCAAACAGG
rnacentral:rRNA from 1 species